UUGAGUAUAAGAAGCCAGCCAGGUUCUUUACUCGUGGGGACUUGGUGUGCACUGGUUGCAGACAGCAGCCUCCCUGGUAGUAAAUGACAACCUGUUGCUUAUAUGGGUUGCCCUAAGGGACCUUGGAUACAGUU